CCGUCCCUCCGCCGCAAAAGCCUAGAGCUCCCCAUCCUCCCACUCUUCACCCAGCGCUUGCACGAUUCCCCUCCUUGCCAGCACCGUCCCUCGGCUGCAACCCCUCCGCGGGCAGAAUUGAAGAAAAAUCGAAGAUCAAUUCUUGCACGCUCUCCUGACCCUCCUCGUCUCCAGCGUGGCCACCGGCCUCAAGAUUCAGAACAGGAGGCCAGGUGCUCUGGAGGACGCGCCCCCUCGAGGCCUCUCCAUUAUCGACACUUUCAUAGUACUCAGGCAUGUAUGUUUUCUUUGCCACGUCAAGCAUACUGGACUGGAGAAGCUUACACCUUCAGGCAAGCCUCUUUUAUUUUUGGCAAACAGCAACAAAUUGGUCAAAGUAUAGCUAACACCAAGGUGUUGCAGAUGAACCUCAUGGUCACUUCUUCAACUCUGUGAAUAUGCAGAGAAAGCAAUAACACACCUGUUGAAUUUUACCUUUUAAUUCCAACCACAUCUGCCAAAAAUAUGUUUCCACUCAGUUUUGGAUUGACAAGCGGCGUGGCAGCCUUGUUAAAGCAAAAUUUGUGUGGAAGUUCAUGAUUAGGCUCGAUUGAAGUGGAUGCCCAGCCCAGAGGAGACCAGAUUAGGGAUUGCAAUUGGAUCGUGAAUCUAGUUCAAGCCACAACGUCCUGGAAAUGAUGCUGCUUGAUGAAAGCGCACAGCCCACGAACCUGCCGUUAUCACUUCUUGAAGACAUCACAAACCGUUUCUGUCUUGAUCAGCAAAUCGGCAGCGGCGGUUUUGCGGUGGUUUACAAGGGUGUGGUCGGAAAAGGUAUGGUCGCCGUGAAGAAGCUACUCAACACGUUUGAUAUUCAUGAGAAUAAAUUCCACGAAGAGGUUAAAUGUCUGAUAAAGGUCAAGCACAAAAAUAUUGUACGCUUUUUUGGGUAUUGUGCUAACACGCUAGGAAAAAAGGAAAACUACGAGGGGAUGCUUGUCAUGGCAGAUCAACGGAACUGGUUGCUCUGUUUCGAGUAUGUACACAAUUGAACUCCGG